rnacentral:rRNA from 1 species
AUUGAACGCUGGCGGCAUGCCUUACACAUGCAAGUCGAACGCGAAAGGGGGCAACCCUGAGUAGAGUGGCGAACGGGUGAGUAAUGCAUCGGAACGUGUCCUGUAGCGGGGGACAACCCCGAGAAAUCGGGGCUAAUACCGCAUACGUCCUACGGGAGAAAGUGGGGACCGCAAGGCCUCACACUAUAGGGGCGGCCGAUGCCGGAUUAGCUAGUUGGUGGGGUAAGAGCCCACCAAGGCGACGAUCCGUAGCUGGUCUGAGAGGAUGAUCAGCCACACUGGGACUGAGACACGGCCCAGACUCCUACGGGAGGCAGCAGUGGGGAAUUUUGGACAAUGGGCGCAAGCCUGAUCCAGCCAUGCCGCGUGAGUGAAGAAGGCCUUCGGGUUGUAAAGCUCUUUCGGCCGGGACGAAAUCGCUCUCGCUAAUAUCGGGAGUGGAUGACGGUACCGGAAUAAGAAGCACCGGCUAACUACGUGCCAGCCGCCGCAGUAACAC